UACGUAGGGGGCAAGCGUUGUCCGGAUUCAUUGGGCGUAAAGAGCUCGUAGGCGGCUUGGCAAGUCGGGUGUGAAAACUCCAGGCUCAACCUGGAGACGCCACCCGAUACUGCUAUGGCUUGAGUCCGGUAGGGGACCACGGAAUUCCUGGUGUAGCGGCGAAAUGCGCAGAUAUCAGGAGGAACACCGGUGGCGAAGGCGGUGGUCUGGGCCGGAACUGACGCUGAGGAGCGAAAGCGUGGGGAGCGAACAGG
rnacentral:rRNA from 1 species